rnacentral:tRNA from 6 species
UGCGGGAUCGUCUAAUGGUAGGACGAUAGCCUUUGGAGCUAUCUAUCAUGGUUCGAAUCCAUGUCCCGCAACUA